UACGAAGGGGGCUAGCGUUGUUCGGAAUCACUGGGCGUAAAGCGCGUGUAGGCGGAUCGUUAAGUCGGGGGUGAAAUCCUGGAGCUCAACUCCAGAACUGCCUUUGAUACUGGAGAGCUCGAGUCCGGAAGAGGUGAGUGGAACUGCGAGUGUAGAGGUGAAAUUCGUAGAUAUUCGCAAGAACACCAGUGGCGAAGGCGGCUCACUGGUCCGGUACUGACGCUGAGGUGCGAAAGCGUGGGGAGCAAACAGG
rnacentral:rRNA from 1 species